rnacentral:lncRNA from 1 species
CUGAACACCACACGCAGGCUCUGUGUGCAGGGCCCCGUCCAGGCCCCGCUGUCCCCCCUGAACACCACACGCAGGCUCUGUGUGCAGGGCCCCGUCCAGGCCCCGCUGUCCCCCUCUGAACACCACACGCAGGCUCUGUGUGCAGGGCCCCGUCCAGGCCCCGCUGUCCCCCGUGAACACCACACGCAGGCUCUGUGUGCAGGGCCCCGUCCAGGCCCCGCUGUCCCCCUCUGAACACCACACGCAGGCUCUGUGUGCAGGGCCCCGUCCAGGCCCCGCUGUCCCCCGUGAACACCACACGCAGGCUCUGUGUGCAGGGCCCGUCCAGGCCCCGCUGUCCCCCCUGAACACCACACGCAGGCUCUGUGUGCAGGGCCCCGUCCAGGCCCCGCUGUCCCCCCUGAACACCACACGCAGGCUCUGUGUGCAGGGCCCCGUCCGGGCCCCGCUGUCCCCCCUGAACACCACACGCAGGCUCUGUGUGCAGGGCCCCGUCCAGGCCCCGCUGUCCCCUCUGAACACCACACGCAGGCUCUGUGUGCAGGGCCCCGCUGUCCCCUCUGAACACCACAC